rnacentral:rRNA from 1 species
CACGUAGGGUGCGAGCGUUGUCCGGAAUUAUUGGGCGUAAAGAGCUCGUAGGCGGUGUGUCGCGUCGGCCGUGAAAACCUGCAGCUUAACUGUGGGCUUGCGGUCGAUACGGGCAUCACUGGAGUUCGGUAGGGGAGACUGGAAUUCCUGGUGUAGCAGUGAAAUGCGUAGAUAUCAAGAGGAACACCAGUGGCGAAGGCGAGUCCCUGGACGAUACCUGACACUGAGGCACGAAAGCCGGGGGGAGCAAACAGG